rnacentral:rRNA from 1 species
CUUCAUGAAGCUGGAAUUGCUAGUAAUGGCAGGUCAGCAUACUGCCGUGAAUACGUUCCCGGGCCUUGUACACACCGCCCGUCACACCAUGAGAGUUGGAAAUACCCGAAGCCUGUGAGCUAACUUUUAGAGGCAGCAGUCGAAGGUAGAGCCAAUGAUUGGGGUGAAGUCGUAACAAGGUAAC